rnacentral:antisense_RNA from 1 species
GCUAAACCAAUGAGAAGGGCUUCCACACGGCGACGUUUGGGGGCCUUUUUCUUUUGCUGUCUCGUUCCUUUUCCUGA